AUCAACCUAGCACACAACGCGGUGAUUGGGAGAUGGGAUCUUCUGUUGCCCAGGGAUGUACAUCUGAUUUUAAGAAUAUCAUCUGAGUCCUGCGUCCCUUUAGCCUCCUCCCCUCCAACCUCCAUGGCUCUGUGAUGAAAUCAAGGUUGACUGAUGUUUGAUAUGAACAGAAUAAAGUCUACAGGUCAAAGGGAAAAUAGAAUGGGCUUCCAUAUGAUGGAUGUACAUGGGGGAAAUAAGUCUGAUAUCUUGGUGUUUCAAUCUCAGAUUGAAUUCUUCAACAAGAUUUAGUCCAGGAGCAAGUCUACUGAGAAGAGCAAGGGUGUCGAUCAUGAAUUUUUGUUUUAGUUGACUGUAGGUUUCAUGUGGUAUGUUUCCAGGUUCGUUCUUUGAAUUUGUUUUCUUGUUAACUUCUGACGCUAUAGAUUUUAUAUCAGUAAAAGUGUCAUCCUUGGUGAUAAGAUGGGACUAUAUUAGAGCUAUUAUUAGUGUAUGCUAGACUGGAUCAAAUGUGGACAUAAAAAUGCAACAAAACUGCAAGUCCACAUCUGAUUCAACACACUUCCACUGUAGUGUUUGAGUGCAUAUACUGAUGUUCUUUGAUCAACAUAGGGUGAUGCUUGGUAGUUACCCCUCUCUCAGCCUUGCAAAGUUUGGGAGUGUGAAUUUGCAACUUGGACACCUCAUAGAAUGUUGGUCCGAAUAUUCGAAAUUGAUCAUGUAUAUAUCCCUAGCAGAUCUAAGAUGUCACUACUCUUUUUUUGGUUGUCAGGAAAUGUAUUUUUGAUCUCAGCUUCUAAUGAUGAAAAGAAGUAGUCAAGAAUAAAAUUUGAUGUCCUUUGGCACCUUACAAGAUGAUAAACAUCAACACUGAUGUUCUGUUGUUCUGAUAACUGCAAAAUAGGAAUGCAUGCAUCAAUGGGCAUGAAGGGCGUGGGUUGAAGACCAAUUAUUCUACAUUGUUCGGGCUAUUUAAAGGUAACUGUACUAAACAUCCUGUUCUUACUGCUCUUUACUCUUUAGUUAAUACCAUCAGUGUGGCAUUCCUCCUUUUUAACGUUCUUUUAGUUAGUAGCAGUAUUUUUGAAGUGUUUCUACCAUUUCUCUGGAGGUUCUAGCGGUGUUCACGAUAUUAGGCUGUAAUUGUUGCCAGCCUGAUCUUGGUAAAUUUUCCUUGCUUAGUCUUAAUAUUGAAACUUGCUCGGAGGAUCCAACCAAGGCCACAUUUUUGAUAAAUAAGAUGCAAGAUUCUAUUCUGUCAACAGGCUUUGAUGUGUCAUCAGCAGCUCUAUUGCAAGUCUCUAGCGUCGACUUACCCCAGUUCCUUCGGUUCAGAUGCCGUUUCCUAAUUGCUAGAGCUGCAAGGGUACAUAUUUACUUCCUUAUCAUCCUUGAGUCAUGUUAUCUGCGAGGGCACUUAAUUGCUUACAUGUUUGCAAUUUCUAUGUCGCUUCUUUGCUACAAAAUGUAACAUGUGAUUUAUCUUUUGCCAAUCUUCGUCAAAGUGUUUUUGUUUAUACAUUGCAGGAACCCAUAAGCCAAUAGUAUUAGAUUUGGAUGGCUUUCCAGGGAUUGAAGUGGUUGGAGCUGCAGGCCGAACUCAAAUUAUUUGUUUUUUCAAUACCAUUUGUUAAUUCAAUUGCAAACAUUGUGGUACACGUAUUAUGCUAAUAGGUAAAGCUUCUGUUAUUUACACCUUUUUUUAUUUAACAAAAUUGAAUGUACAAUUAGACGUUUAAGUAAGUUUUCUUUGUGUAGAUACACCAUCUAGCCUUACUCACGCCCAACUCUUUUUAUCAUUCACUUCCAACUAUAUUUUUCACUUUGUGUAGAUAAAGACAUGUCCCAAUCUUCUUGGUCUGCUCACGUAUGUUCAUUUUUAAUACAGGAGGCGAUCUGAAUUAAAGGAAGAACUCUAUGUUGUCUGCUUGAAUCAAUUGUUCAUCUCUACAUUAACGAAUAGAAGAAUUUGUUCAGACUUCAGAAAUGUGUGGUUGAGGAGACAGGAACACACAGCAGUCUGCACUACACACUUGACAUACGUGCAAAGGAUCUUCACUAAGAUAUAUCGAGCAGAGCUCAUCACGACAUCCUGUGACGUUCUCAACCAUGUUAUCCUUCACGAUAAACAUAUUUUGAAGGAGACAAGAGAGCAUCCAAGCACGACCAUGUUGAACUUGAUGUCUUGCUGCAGUACAAGCGGCUGUUGUCCCUUGAUCCAGGUAUGAUUUCCGAAGAUUAUUUCACUAAUUAGCUAUACCCAGUGUAGAUCUGGCACGUCCACUUCUAAAUGAACAAGAUAUUUCAAGGUGAUGCAUCGUGUCGUGGUCGUUGUCUGUGCUAUCCGUCUUCCUCAUUUGUGCUAAUUUGAUUACUCUUUUUUGAAGGCAGUGCAUCGUCGGGUUUCUCAUAACAUGUUGGUAGAUUUUAUUUAUUGUCUUCUUAAGAAAUAGAUCGACCCAAAACAUUGUUCAUAUUUACAGGUUGAUUAUUUUCGUAGAUUUAUAAUCCAAAUACAUGACCCAGUACAAGAUUACGAGCUUGGAGUCGUCCUUCUUGUUUGGGAGGGCAGAUUUGGUACUAAACACUUAAUUGGUGUUGAUAGACUUGUACUGUGAAAAAUAAUGGUAAUAUGAACAGACUGAUAGUGGUAUACAUAGGGUGACAAGGAGUUAUUAUUUUCAUUCCUAUAUGCAACUUUUCUGGCACUAACCAAUAGUAUUGUGCUGCCAGAACACUGUAUGCUUAGUAUUGAUUAAAUUUUAUUAUCAGCAA